UACGGAGGGUGCAAGCGUUAAUCGGAAUUACUGGGCGUAAAGCGUGCGCAGGCGGUUUGUUAAGUCCGUUGUGAAAGCCCCGAGCUCAACUUGGGAAUUGCAGUGGAUACUGGCAGGCUGGAGUACGGUAGAGGAAGGUGGAAUUCCCGGUGUAGCAGUGAAAUGCGCAGAUAUCAGGAGGAACACCAAUUGCGAAGGCAGCUCGCUGGAACGUAACUGACGCUGAGACGCGAAAGCGUGGGGAGCAAACAGG
rnacentral:rRNA from 1 species